AACGACCUGAACUGUACGACACACCUUUUAUUUUGAACCUACAUUUUUACUACGGGAAUCCGAGCUGCAAUUAUAAAUGUCAGGCCCUAAGCUAAUUCCCAUUUUCGGGCGAGGGAAGGCAGAUACUUUGAUAGGAACCCCACUUAGCGCAAGCUGGGUGUCAAAAUGGAAAGGACCGGCACUUUGGGAUUUGC
rnacentral:other from 1 species